AGAUUGAACGCUGGCGGCAGGCCUAACACAUGCAAGUCGAGCGGUAGAGAGGUGCUUGCAUCUCUUGAGAGCGGCGGACGGGUGAGUAAUGCCUAGGAAUCUGCCUAGUGGUGGGGGAUAACGUUCGGAAACGGACGCUAAUACCGCAUACGUCCUACGGGAGAAAGCGGGGGACCUUCGGGCCUCGCGCCAUUAGAUGAGCCUAGGUCGGAUUAGCUAGUUGGUGAGGUAAUGGCUCACCAAGGCGACGAUCCGUAACUGGUCUGAGAGGAUGAUCAGUCACACUGGAACUGAGACACGGUCCAGACUCCUAACGGGAGGCAGCAGGUAGGGGAAAUAGUUGGGACAAAGUGGGGACGAAAGCCUAGGAUCCAGCCAUGCCGCGUGUGUGAAAGAAGGUCUCGGAUUAGUAAAGCAACUUUUAAGGUUGGAAGGUAAGGUUGUAAACCGUAAGUUACGUGACUAACGUUUGAACCGUUUACCGAACAGUAAACUAAGCCGAACCGGCUUAACUUCGUAACCAGACAGCCGUACGGUAA
rnacentral:rRNA from 1 species